CCCCCUCCUCUCCUCCAGUUCGUCCCUGAGCAGCAGCAGUUCGUCCCCUCCUCCAGUUUUCCUCCAAUUCCAAUCAGUGGCUGAUUCCAAUGCCUCCAAUUUCUGGAUUUGUUUCUAUAAUGGACUAGAUGCAAGUUUUAAAUUUUCUGUUUCUUUGUUUUCUUAUAUUGUAGAUGAAGAAAAAUAAGAUUGCUGGCAGUAGCAUAUUUGCAAUGUGGGAAAAGGCUUCAAAGACAAAGAAAAGGGAUGAAUCAUCCACACCAAAUCAGACAGCAGCUAUCAAUCAUAUCAUCGUUUUAUCAAUCAAAAGGUACUUUUGUAUCCAUGUUUUUUUUAUAAUUAUUAUGGUUUGACACAUUCAAAAAAUUCUAUUGUCAUUACGUCAUAAUAUUUUGUUCAUAUAUUGCAAUAGCCGCACUAUUUGGUUUAGAUAUUGAAAUUCCCGUACUAUUUGGUUCAUAUAUUGCAUUUAGAGUAAAAAAAAAUUUGGGUGAAUACCCAGCCAGCAAUUCCUGGCGCCGCCACUGUAUGGUUGUGUUCGGCAACCCUCCACUCCUUCAAUACAGAGAGGGGCACACGGAGCACCCUUUUAGCCGCUCGCUAAAAUACAACUGCAUGCGCUCCGCAGCGGAGUUGAGGGAUUCCAAACAACCUCUAUAUAUGAAAUGAUUAUGUAACAACAGUUCAAAUAAUUAAGUCCGAAUUGUCAACAACAACACAUAGUUCCCCUCAGAAAAAAAGCUUCACCACCAUACCUUCAGGCUUGGGAUUUUCAGCAAUGGUAGUACCCACUCUAGAUAACUUCGAUUUAUUGCUGCCUUUCAGCAAUGGUAGUACCCACUCUAGACGCAUGCAUAGAUAGCCUCACUCUCCUUUUUCUCAUACAGGCUCACGACGCAUGCAUACGUAUUAUCUGACGAAACUGAACAAAACAACACCUAGCUAACUG
rnacentral:lncRNA from 1 species